AACGAACGCUGGCGGCAGGCCUAACACAUGCAAGUCGAGCGCCCCGCAAGGGGAGCGGCGGACGGGUGAGUAACACGUGGGAACGUACCCUUUGCUACGGAAUAGUCUCGGGAAACUGGGGGUAAUACCGUAUGUGCCCUUCGGGGGAAAGAUUUAUCGGCAAAGGAUCGGCCCGCGUUGGAUUAGGUAGUUGGUGGGGUAAUGGCCUACCAAGCCGACGAUCCAUAGCUGGUUUGAGAGGAUGAUCAGCCACACUGGGACUGAGACACGGCCCAGACUCCUACGGGAGGCAGCAGUGGGGAAUCUUAGACAAUGGGCGCAAGCCUGAUCUAGCCAUGCCGCGUGAGCGAUGAAGGCCUUAGGGUUGUAAAGCUCUUUCAGUGGGGAAGAUAAUGACUGUACCGACCA
rnacentral:rRNA from 1 species